AGAAACACAGUAGGUGAGGAAACACUGUCGCCUUGCCGCUUAAUACGAGUUACUCUAACUUUGCAACUUUAGUUUUGGUUUACGUUCUUCUCAUUGUUGAAGCAGCUUGAUGUUUUCCUAGGAUAAUUUCUAUUGUGUUCAUUCAGUAUGGGCCUUACCGGGUGUGCCGACAGGUUACAAUUGCAAAUUACAAUCAUAUUCAUAGGCAGGCUCAUAGAAUUCAUACCACAGUUUUUGUUCUUUCUGUGUAAGGGUUUCUAGAUUAUGUGGCUACAGAUCCCGUAGGUUUUAUGCAACACUAUAACUAUAGGAAGUAGGAACUGAGUGCUAUAAGAUCUGCUAGUUAUUAUUAUGUAUUGAAAUAUCAUGCUCUUUUACUGUUAGACUUAGAUUGGGGUAUGAGAGUAUACAUGUUCUAAAGGGCAUAGUACAUGCUACACUUUGGGCUUUCAUGGCAGUAUGGCACGCUCAUGUCGCCAUGAACUGUGGGCCAGAUUCCACAAGGUUUUGUCAAUGAUGGUCAUUUGAUUCGUUUAUCGAUACUGGGGGGUCCAGUUGGAGAGAGAGAUCCCUUUACAACAACAGAAAUGGUUUAUGCAGGGUGGUGCAGAGGUAGAGAGAGAAAGGGAGCUGUAGGGAUUGGGACAAAAGGGUGGAAUGGCAGCAGAGAGUGUGUGACUGUGUGUGCAUGGGAAAAGGAUGGUGAGAGAAAGAGAGAUAGUGUGCUGUGUGCAUGGCUUGCUUGGGUUUGAUGGAGAGAGACAGAGAGUAUGUGGUAGAUUGAUCAACAACAGCAAGUCAGCAACGAUCCUCACUUCAAAGAUGCUUUGGAGUUGUCCUCUGUGUACAUCUCUAUCACUAGAGGCUUUCAGACUAUGACACGAGGGAAGUGUGUUGGGGAGAGAUUGAAAGGGAGAUGUUCGUCACUUAAAUCUAGCUAGCUUAGCUGCCGAAGAAAUGCCGUACACUUUUGUGCAAGAUGCAUAACAGGUUCACAGCAGUAUGUAUGUCAAUCUUUUGAAGCAUGCUGUUCAAUUUUUUCCUGCUCCUACCUUGCAGACUUCUUCUGUUACCGUUAGCCAGAGAAAGAGAGGGAGGGAGGGGGUAGAACUAAAUGAGGGCCUGAGGGGCUGCAAAGCUGAAAAGCAAAAGACAAAGAUGAGCACUUUGGCCAAAGCAUGGAACGAGGAUCCUGUUUUGACUGACUCCACAGUUCACAGGGGACACCUUCUCAUUUCCUCAUUUCGAUUUCAGCAACUUAGGCACUUAGCAGUUAGCACGCUUUAGAUCAGUAGGGAGUACUUCCUUCGAAGUUUAGGCAAAUUCUGCAGUCGUGCUAUUUCUGCUUCUUCCCCAGUUUUGUAGAUUUUAUUCA
rnacentral:lncRNA from 1 species